GCCCCAGUGGCCUAAUGGAUAAGGCACUGGCCUCCUAAGCCAGGGAUUGAGGGUUCGAGUCCCUUCUGGGGGG
rnacentral:tRNA from 1 species